GAUUCCAUUGAAUUUGAACUCUCUAUUUUGUUGCAACCUUGGUUAUUGCUAUGAGAAUUAUUGAUGUCGCUGUUACUGGAGUAUCAUUGGAAUUGACGUUGCUAUUACCCCGGUUAAUGCUGCCCCUAGGAUGUAUGCCCUGGUCUUUGAUCUGUGUUCUUCUGAGUACCAGAGCUGCUGCUCCAUUCCCGUAUUUCUUUUGGUUCCUAUUAAAUUUCCUUCCAAAGUUGCUGUUGCUGUUCCCGUGAGGGUUAUUGCUAUCACUGUCGCCAUGAAUUGAAAGAAAAGGAAAUUAUCACGAUUAGUUACGUGGACUCAGCUAACUGAGCUUUACCUUUUCAGGAACCGGAUGAAGAAGCAUUAAGAAGAAUUAUAUUG